UCGAGAAUUUUUCUCAAUGGGCGCAAGCCUGAAGGAGCGACGCCGCGUGGGGGAUGAAGGGCUUCGGCUCGUAAACCCCUGUCAUUUGCGAACAAACCCCGCGGUUUAAGAGACGGCGGGCUGAUAGUAGCGAAAGAGGAAGGGACGGCUAACUCUGUGCCAGCAGCCGCGGUAAUACAGAGGUCCCGAGCGUUGUUCGGAUUCACUGGGCGUAAAGGGUGCGUAGGUGGCCGGGUAAGUUUGAUGUGAAAUCUCCGGGCUUAACCCGGAAACGGCAUUGAAUACUAUCCGGCUGGAGGGUUGGAGGGGGGACUGGAAUUCUCGGUGUAGCAGUGAAAUGCGUAGAUAUCGAGAGGAACACCAGUGGCGAAGGCGAGUCCCUGGACAACACCUGACACUGAGGCACGAAAGCUAGGGGAGCAAACAGGAUUAGAUACCCCCGUAGUCC
rnacentral:rRNA from 1 species